CAGUAGCAAUACUGAGUGGCAGACGGGUGAGUAACAUGUGGGAAUCUGCCUUGUGGUUCAGGACAACAUUGGGAAACCGAUGCUAAUACUGGAUAAGCCCUUACGGGGAAAGUUUUAAUGCCAUAAGAUGAGCCCGCAUUUGAUUAGUUAGUUGGUGAGGUAAUGGCUCACCAAGACAAUGAUCAAUAGCUGAUCUGAGAGGAUGAUCAGCCACACUGGGACUGAGACACGGCCCAGACUCCUACGGGAGGCAGCAGUGGGGAAUCUUGCACAAUGGAGGAAACUCUGAUGCAGCGAUGCCGCGUGAGUGAAGAAGGCCUUUGGGUUGUAAAGCUCUUUUGUAGGGGAAGAUAAUGACUGUACCCUAAGAAUAAGGUCCGGCUAACUUCGUGCCAGCAGCCGCGGUAAUACGAAGGGACCUAGCGUAGUUCGGAAUUACUGGGCGUAAAGCGCGCGUAGGCCGUUGAGUUAGUUAAUUGUGAAAUCCCAAAGCUUAACUUUGGAACUGCAAUUAAAACUGCUCGACUAGAGUUUGAUAGAGGAAAGCGGAAUACAUAGUGUAGAGGUGAAAUUCGUAGAUAUUAUGUAGAACACCAGUUGCGAAGGCGGCUUUCUGGAUCAACACUGACGCUGAGGCGCGAAAGUAUGGGUAGCAAAGAGGAUUAGAUACCCUCGUAGUCCAUACCAUAAACGAUGAUUGCUAGAUGUUGGAAAUUUAUUUUCAGUAUCGCAGCUAACGCAUUANNCAAUCCGCCUGGGGGAGUACGACCGCAAGGUUAAAACUCAAAUGAAUUGGCGGGGACCCGCACAAGCGGUGGAGCAUGUGGNUUAAUUCGAAGAUACGCGCAGAACCUUACCAACCCUAGACAUGUCUGUCGCGAGUUUAGGAAACUAGACUUUUCGGUUCGNNCGGNCAGAACACAGGUGCUGCAUGGCUGNCGUCGGCUC
rnacentral:rRNA from 1 species